GAUGAACGCUGGCGGCGUGCCUAAUACAUGCAAGUCGAGCGAAUGGGUUAAGAGCUUGCUCUUAUGAAGUUAGCGGCGGACGGGUGAGUAACACGUGGGUAACCUGCUCAUAAGACUGGGAUAACUCCGGGAAACCGGGGCUAAUACCGGAUAACAUUUUGAACCGCAUGGUUCGAAAUUGAAAGGCGGCUUCGGCUGUCACUUAUGGAUGGACCCGCGUCGCAUUAGCUAGUUGGUGAGGUAACGGCUCACCAAGGCAACGAUGCGUAGCCGACCUGAUAUGGUGAUCAGCCACACGGGGACUGAGACACGGCCCAGACUCCAACGGGAGGCAGCAGUAGUGAAUCUUCCGCAAUGGACGAAAGUCUGACGGAGCAACGCCGCGUGAGUGAUGAAGGCUUUCGGGUCGUAAAACUCUGUUGUUAGGGAAGAACAAGUGCUAGUUGAAUAAGCUGGCACCUUGACGGUACCUAACCAGAAAGCCACGGCUAACUACGUGCCAGCCGCCGCCGUAA
rnacentral:rRNA from 1 species